GUUCCUUCCAACUCUACAAUUCCAUUAUUCUGUGAUAUAUAGAAUCAUAGAAUUAUAGAGCUGUAGAACUGGAAGGAAC